rnacentral:rRNA from 1 species
GGGCCCGCACAAGCGGUGGAGCAUGUGGUUUAAUUCGAUGAUACGCGAGGAACCUUACCAGGGCUUAAAUGUAAGUUGCAUAGAUCAGAGAUGGUCUUUUCUUCGGACUACUUACAAGGUGCUGCAUGGUUGUCGUCAGCUCGUGCCGUGAGGUGUCAGGUUAAGUCCUAUAACGAGCGCAACCCCUGUCGUUAGUUACCAGCAAGUAAUGUUGGGUACUCUAGCGAGACUGCCGGUGCAAACCGUGAGGAAGGUGGGGAUGACGUCAAAUCAUCACGGCCCUUACGUCCUGGGCUACACACGUGCUACAAUGGCCGGUACAGAGAGCAGCCACUACGCGAGUAGGAGCGAAUCUUCAAAGCCGGUCUCAGUUCGGAUUGUCGUCUGCAACUCGACGGCAUGAAGUCGGAAUCGCUAGUAAUCG